UAGCCAUUAGACCAGAGAGACAGAGCCAUUUAGGUCUCCAAGGAGAGAACACAAUUUCUGUUUCCCCUAAGGAUCGCAGCAGAAUGGUGAUUCAUUCUCUCAUUUCUCUGUUAGGAACCAGGUUUACUAAUACGAAAACACGGAGCAGUAGUCAAGCCCACAGCAACUCUGCUCCUGCUGGAUCAGCCCCUUCAGCUUCUCCAUGUCCUAGGCCAGAUGGGUGCACAGCUCCGUGGUGAAGAGUGCCAACUCCUUCUGCAGGUCAUCUGUGUCAUCGAGGUUGGAGGUGGAGAGGAGCUUUUAGAUCUUCAACCAGACACCUGCCAGAAGUACCUUUAACAUGCAAACUAGCCAAGGGAGUUUGCCUGCUUCUAGUCACCAUCAAAGCAGAGAACCUGAAGAAAGAUUACGCACAUCCUCCUGGCACUGCCCCUGAGCUAUCCCUAAUGAAGAGGCAGGAAAACCAGUUGCUUGAAGCCAAAUGACUUUACUCCCAAAAUGAGGAGGGAUACUCUCAUCCACUUCACCACAAAGCUUGGAGAAAUUCUAUACUUCAAGGGCCCCAGCUGAAGAAGUAGCGGGGUUCACGGGGGGUGGUAGUGUGGAGCCAGAGUGUGAGGGUGUGGGGGACAAAAGCUGGUGUGUGGGAAAAAGAAAGCAUGGAGGAGAAAGGCCUCCUUCUUAAAAGCCUUGGUCUGGAUGUGGCAUACAUCACUUGCAUUGCCACUUCACAGUGAGAAUGAGUUAUGUGUCUCUACUGCUAAAUUAAUUAAACAAGGAGGCAGUUAGACUGUGGUGGUUCUAAUACUUGAACAGCUUACAUACAUAUUCCAGAACCUAAGCCUGUAAACUCUUCAAGGUUAAGAGAAAAAAACCUAAGCACAACAAAUCACAGAAACAGCUAACAAGGCUUUUCCAAAGAAGGAGAAUGCUUUAGCUUUAGCAAAUCAAAUAAUACCCUUGUUGCUUCCACCUUUUCUCUCUAAAAGUCUUUCCUCUCGCUCUUGUGGGUGGAGUGCUCCUAACCACUCUGUUUUUGGCACUGCCCUUUUGGAAUCUAUUUUUACUCAAAUAAACUUAAAAGUUUCAAAAAUUUGCCCUAGUUUAUCUUUCAACACUACCUAACGGCCAAAGGAGAGAGAGAUGGUUUUUCCCUGGGUGGGUAGCUGCUUCCUAGUUACAAUUUUAUAUCUUGAAAUGGGAGAAUGGAUUUUGGUGGGCAGUCUCUGCCCCAUCAAGAUCCUCCCAGAAGUACUUGUUUGGCCUGGGGUUGGGAUGG